rnacentral:misc_RNA from 1 species
AAAGUCGUAACAAGGUCUCCGUUGGUGAACCAGCGGAGGGAUCAUUACAAGAGCGCCGAAAGGCUGCUUAAAACCAUCGCGAACCUAUCCAUCAGCGUUGCUUCGGCGGGUUGAGGCCCGGGCCCCCGUGGCCCGGACCUGGGAACCACCUCUCCGGAGGUGGGGACCGCCCGCCGGAGGUACGAAACUCUUCUGAAUCUUAGUGGAUCUCUGAGUAUACAAGCAAAUAAUCAAAACUUUCAACAACGGAUCUCUUGGUUCUG